ensembl:lncRNA
UAAGGUUUGGGAUAGAGUUUAAACAGAAUGUUUAGGGCCUCAUUAUGAAUGGUUAAGGUUUGGGAUAGAGUUUAAACAUUAAGAUUAGCCCCUCAUUAUGAAUGGUUAAGGUUUGGGAUAGAGUUAUAACAGAAUGUUUAGGGCCUCAUUAUGAAUGGUUAAGGUUUGGGAUAGAGUUAUAACAUAAUGUUUAGGGCCUCAUUAUGAAUGGUUAAGGUUUGGGAUAGAGUUUAAACAGAAUGUUUAGUGCCUCAUUAUGAAUGGUUAAGGUUUGGGAUAGAGUUAUAACAGAAUGUUUAGG